rnacentral:lncRNA from 1 species
AUGUGUCCCGGCCGGCGCUGCUGGGGCCUCGGCUCCCUCCUGCUGCUGCUGCUGCUGCUCGGGCGAAACCUGGGCUUCCUCGUGGAAAUCCCGCAGGAUGCAGUCACUGGCACCGUGGGGCAGUCCGUGCUCCUGCCCGUCUCCUACAGAUGCAACAGCACCUCUUGCUUCCCGGUGGCAAUUAAUUGGAUGUUUGGUCACACCUCACAAAGAACCAUCUCCUGCACCGUGCACAACUGCUCCCUGGAUGAUGGGGGGGCUCCCAAGAACUGCUCCACAAACUGUUUCCCCCAUCCUGCACAUUGGGGCCGUGUUGAGCUCUUCCCCGAGAACGCAUCCCUGCUGCUGUGGGACCUGCGGCUCAGUGACAACGGGGUGUACACCGUCAGCUUUCAACAGCACCAAAGACAAAUCAGGAACAUCACCCUGACCGUGCUCCAGCAGCCUGUCACCCCAGACCAUUCCAGUGAAGGGCGAAACCUGGGCUUCCUCCUGGAAAUCCCGCAGGAUGCAGUCACUGGCACCGUGGGGCAGUCCGUGCUCCUGCCCGUCUCCUACAGAUGCAACAGCACCUCUUGUUUCCCGGUGGCAAUUCAGUGGCUGUUUAGUCACCCCUUAGAAAUAAUCAUUGCCUGCUCAGUGCAGAACUGCUCCCUGGGUGAUGGGGGGGCUCCCAAGAAUUGCUCCACAAACUGUUACUCCUAUCGUACACACUGGGGCCGUGUUGAGCUCUUCCCCGAGAACGCAUCCCUGCUGCUGCGGGACCUGCGGCUCAGUGACAGCGGGGUGUACACCGUCAGCUUCUUACGGAAAAGACAAAUCAGGAAGAUCACCCUGACCGUGCUCGAGCAGCCUGUCCCCACAGAUCCUACCAGCAAAGGCACUUCUCAACCAGCAGGAAGAAUAGCCACACGCAUCCCUUGCUGCAUCCUCGGAGGCUGCUACUGCUUCAUCCUGCUGCUCCUGCAGCUGCUCUUCCACCUGUGCUGGCUGCGGGGCAGCCGUGGGGAAGCCUGCGGCUGCUGCUGGGGAGAAGGGAGCCAGCGUGCGGGAGCAGCCAGGGCCGGGGCACAAUGAAGUGCCCGCAGUGCCCGGGCACAAGGAAGGCGCUCAGCUGCUGCCUCGGGGCUGCUUUUCCCUCUGGCACCUGCCCCUCUGCUGGACAAACCGGGCUCCCGGCCCCUGCCUGCCCCCAGUGCACAACCACUCCCCACGCUCACAUACCCCUGCUCUGAAAUUCCUGCUCCCAAUUCAAACACCAAAUAAACACCUUUCCUCUGGCCUCCCUGUCUCCAAAGUGCCUGGCAUGGGGCUGCAGCACCACCUGAAGCAGUUCCAGCAGCAAAGCCAGAGCCGGGAGAGAUUCCCAAAGCUUCUGGCCAGCCCCAGGUGGCAGUGGCACCUCGCAGUGGGGCUGGAGACUCCAAAG